rnacentral:tRNA from 1 species
GCCUUUGUGUUGAAAUGGUAUACAAAUCGACUUCAAAAGCCGACACCUUAAUGGUAUGCUGGUUCGAGUCCAGUCAAAGGCA